GCGGGCAUAGCUCAGUGGUAGAGUGCAACCUUGCCAAGGUUGAUGUCGCGAGUUCGAAUCUCGUUGCCCGCUCCA
rnacentral:tRNA from 1 species